rnacentral:rRNA from 1 species
AUGAACGCUGGCGGCGUGCCUAAUACAUGCAAGUCGAACGGAAAGGCCUCUUCGGAGGUACUCGAGUGGCGGACGGCUGAGUAACGCGUAGGAAUGUACCCCAAAGUGAGGAAUAACUCCGAGAAAUCGGAGCUAAUACCGCAUGUGCUCUAAGGAGUAAAGCUUCGGCGCUUUGGGAACAGCCUGCGUAAGAUUAGCUUGUUGGUGAGGUAAUGGCUCACCAAGGCGACGAUCUUUAGCUGGUCUGAGAGGAUGAUCAGCCAGACUGGGACUGAGAACGGCCCAGACUCCUACGGGAGGCAGCAGUAGGGAAUUUUCCACAAUGGGCGAAAGCCUGAUGGAGCAACGCCGCGUGCAGGAUGAAUGCCUUAGGGUUGUAAACUGCUUUUAUAUGUGAAGAUAAUGACGGUAGCAUAUGAAUAAGGAUCGGCUAACUCCGU